rnacentral:pre_miRNA from 1 species
AUUCUACUCCCUCCGUUGCACAAUACAUGCCUUCUAUUUGUCAAAAUAUAUAUGUAUCUAGACAUGUCUUAGUAUAUAGGUACAUCCAUUUUUGGACAAAUGGAAGUCAAGUAUUUUGGAACGGAGCGAGUACACA